rnacentral:ncRNA from 1 species
GCCUUAGUGGGUAUGUGCCCUGAAUAAGUAUGGCUGGAGUGCUUCGCGCACCAAAUGUGUGGUUUUCAGUUUGUCCUUCGUAUCCGAAGUCCCUUUGAUAGGUGCCACAUCCCUGAUAAAGUGCGAGAGCUGUGCGGGCAGUGCAGCAAGCGGUGCGAUCAUACUUUGGAGUCGGGUUGCUUGAAAGUGCACCCUAAAGUGGGUGAUAAACUUUCUCUAAGGGUAAACAUAGACGUGGAUUCGAUAGCAAACAAGUAUCGUGAAG